CUUAAAAGAACAAAAAAGAACUCUUGAUAGUUUAGUAUCACCGUGGAUGUUCAAAAAGAUGGUGGAUGCGAUGGUCUUCCCACAGGGGUGGCGCGCGACAUUCAAGUUGUGGCUAGAACAACCAGAUCCAAAACCACCUUGUCCAAUCUUAUUAUUCAACGAGAAGUUGUUAGUGGCACUAGUAAUUGUUUGCAGAUCAAACAAAGGUAAAUCCAGAUCUUCUAGAUGUCUUUCAAUGUUAUCGUCUAUCUUUGACUUAUCUAAAAAAGGGAACAGAGGAAAUGUUAUUUGGUAUUAUUAUGAAACCUGAGGGGGGAUCAUUUGAGCCGAUUAAGUUAGAUACAUAUCGCAAUAGAACAUACUCCCUCACAACUUUUAAGGUGUAGUUAUUGCUUAGAAGACUUUUCUACCCCUUAUUUAAUGUUUGUCUUUUUAAUAUUAGUGGGUGUAUAUGCUUCAUAAAUUUUUAUGAGGGUAUAUUUGUAAAAAUAUUCAAAAAGUUACACUAAUUAAUGAGUGUAUUGGUUUUGUUGUUUUUUGGUUUUU